AUGUUCUCUCCUUGCUCCAAAGCCUUUGCUGGCUCCCAGCACCUCCAAGUGAAAGUCCAAGCUGCCCAGCCAGGCAGAAGGCCCUGCGUGAUCUGGCCCCACCAACUUCAUCACCCAGCCCACCAGCUUCCUGUGUGCACCUCCCAGGCCUUCCCAGAGUCCUGCAUUUGGCUUGUUCUCAUCCUCACAGGCCCCCGGGCUGGGUUGCUUAGGAUGGUGUGUGCCUGGCCACUUGUGGCUCUGCCCAUCCUACGAUCCUGUGUGUGCAUGGGCCACACACCUGCUGCCACCACAGCUCAUGCACACGUGUGUGUCUUCUCUUCUCGCAGGUGGGCCCCGUUCCCAAGUGUCCUCCCCCUCAAAGAGGCCCAGGCGUAUGGCAGGGGCUGCCCAGGCAGGAAAGAUGCUUGGACAGGGAACUGCGGAGGUGAAAGUGUCCUUCAAGGAGAUCCAGACCGACCCCGCCUGACCAGUUCUGCCUCCACAUAAGGGAAGACUGAGGCCAGGCCUGGGACCCAGAAUUAAAGGUGUAUUUUUAUCCAUCCAUGGGCCAUGGUGGAAGGUAAGUUCCAUUCCACAGGACGGGAGGCUUCAGGCUCUCAGAAAGGGGUUGGGUGCAGUUCUGGGGACAUCUAUAGGGCAGGAAGGCCUGCGGGUCAGUGCUUGAAGAGUUUGGAAUAGGGCUAGCAGAGG
rnacentral:lncRNA from 1 species